GGGGAUGUUUAGGAUUCGACAGGGGCAUUGGUCUGUUUGAUUGCACGUAAGAGGCUCGGCUCUUUAAAAACGAAACAGUUUAAAUAUAACUGACAACAAUAAAUCAUUAGCUUUAGCAGCUUAAUUGCUAAAGGCUGGUUAAUUGGUUUGACUAUGACUAAUAUAACUGGUUCAUUUAAUAAUAGUCUAUAAUUUAUUACUUCCGUUUGCAGUGAUAAGUAAGAAUUUAAUCAAACUCGUUUUUUACAGCCUGUUUACUGGCAUAAGUAAAAAAUUAAAUUUAAUAGGUAAACUAAACGUGUAGAAGUUAAAUAGAGGUGUUUUUGGACGCGGGUUCAAAUCCCGCCAUCUCCAUAA
rnacentral:tmRNA from 2 species